rnacentral:misc_RNA from 1 species
UUCGAUCAUGGCUCAGAUUGAACGCUGGCGGGAUGCUACACAUGCAAGUCGAACGGCAGCACGGACUUCGGUCUGGUGGCGAGUGGCGAACGGGUGAGUAAUGUAUCGGAACGUGCCUAGUAGCGAGGAUAACUACGCGAAAGCGUAGCUAAUACCACAUACGCCCUUCGGGGGAAAGCGGGGACCUUCGGGCCUCGCACUAUUAAACGGCCGAUAUCGGAUUAGCUAGUUGGUGGGGUAACGGCUCACCAAGGCGACGAUCCGUAGCUGGUUUGAGAGGACGACCAACCACACUGGGACUGAGACACGGCCCAGACUCCUACAGGAGGGCAGCAGUGGGGGAAUUUUGGACAAUGGGGAAACCUGAUCAGCCAUCCCGCGUGUGCGAUGAAGGCCUUCGGGUUGUGUAACACUUUUGGCAGGAAAGAAACGGCACGGGAUAAUACCCCGUGCAACUGACGGUACCUGCAGAAUAAGCACCGGCUAACUACGUGCCAGCAGCCGCGGUAAUACGUAGGGUGCAAGCGUUAAUCGGAAUUACUGGGCGUAAAGCGUGCGCAGGCGGUUCCGGAAAGAAAGAUGUGAAAUCCCAGAGCUUAACUUUGGAACUGCAUUUUUAACUACCGAGCUAGAGUGUGUCAGAGGGAGGUGGAAUUCCGCGUGUAGCAGUGAAAUGCGUGAACAUGCGGAGGAACACCGAUGGCGAAGGCAGCCUCCUGGGAUAACACUGACGCUCAUGCACGAAAGCGUGGGGAGCAAACAGGAUUAGAUACCCUGGUAGUCCACGCCCUAAACGAUGUCAACUAGCUGUUGGGGCCUUCGGGCCUUGGUAGCGCAACUAACGCGUGAGAUUGACCGCCUGGGGAGUACGGUCGCAAGAUUAAAACUCAAAGGAAUUGACAGGGACCCGCACAAGCGGUGGAUGAUGUGGAUUAAUUCGAUGCAACGCGAAAAACCUUACCUACCCUUGACAUGUCUGGAAUCCCGAAGAGAUUUGGGAGUGCUCUGAAGAACCGGAACACAGGUGCUGCAUGGCUGUCGUCAGCUCGUGUCGUGAGAUGUUGGGUUAAGUCCCGCAACGAGCGCAACCCUUGUCAUUAGUUGCUACGAAAGGGCACUCUAAUGAGACUGCCGGUGACAAACCGGAGGAAGGUGAGACCGUCAAGUCCUCAUGGCCCUUAUGGGUAGGGCUUCACACGUCAUACAAUGGUCGGGACAGAGGGUCGCCAACCCGCGAGGGGGAGCCAAUCCCAGAAACCCGAUCGUAGUCCGGAUCGCGAUCUGCAACUCGACUGCGUGAAGUCGGAAUCGCUAGUAAUCGCGGAUCAGCAUGUCGCGGUGAAUACGUUCCCGGGUCUUGUACACACCGCCCGUCACACCAUGGGAGUGGGUUUUACCAAGUAGUUAGCCCUAACCGUAAGGAGAGGCGAUUACCACGAUGGGAUUCAUGACUGGGGUGAAGUCGUAACAAGGUAGCCCUGUUACUACCUGUUUUUUUUUCGUGUACUUCGUUCGGUUACGUAUUGCUCCCAGUGAACCUCCUCGGGACUACCCGGGUAUCUAAUCCUGUUUGCUCCCACGCUUUCGUGCCUCAGUGUCAGUGUUGGUCCAGGUAGCUGCCUUCGCCAUGGAUGUUCCUCUGAUCUCUACACAUUUCACUGCUACGCAGAAUUCCGCUACCCUCUACCACACUCUAGUCGUCCGUCCCUGCAGUUCCCAGGUUGAGCCCAGGGCUUUCACAACGGACUUAAACGACUACUACGCACGCUUUACGCCCAGUAAUUCCGAGUAACGCUUACCCUUCGUAUUACCGCGGCUGCUGGCUGAAGCUAGCGGUGUAUUCUUUGGGUACCGUCAUCCCAACCAGGUAUUAGCCGGCUGGAUUUCUUUCCCAACAAGGGCUUUACAACCCGAAGGCCUUCUUUCACCCACGCGGUAUGGCUGGAUCAGGCUUGCGCCCAUUGUCCAAUAUUCCCACUGCUGCCUCCCGUAGGCGAGGAG